CAAGAUCGCGGCGAGACCCAUCGCUGCGGACUACGGUUUCGCUUGCGCCUUUAAAUACAUUUCGCGAUUAUUUUUGGGCCUUUUUCUCUUUUUCACUCAAUUUUGGCCUAAAAUGCGCCGUUUUUUACUGUUUUUUUUCGAAAAAUAAUUGAAAAAUUUAAUGUAAAGUGAUAUUUAAUACGAAUUACUAGGAAUUAUCGUGAAAUUUUAGCAAUUUUUUUGUUUUUUACUAAGAAAAUAGGGUCUUCUCGUAUUUUCCAACUUUUGUCGUGAUUUUUUGUAAUUAAAAAAC
ensembl:ncRNA Y48G8AL.17 ncRNA